GACGGAGAGGCAUCUCUACCGUCUGGAAAGUUUUUCGGUCUGGGAUGGACUCGCGGCCUAUCAGCUUGUUGGUGAGGUAAUGGCUCACCAAGGCGACGACGGGUAGCCGGCCUGAGAGGGCGACCGGCCACACUGGGACUGAGACACGGCCCAGACUCCUACGGGAGGCAGCAGUGGGGAAUAUUGCACAAUGGGCGAAAGCCUGAUGCAGCAACGCCGCGUGAGGGAUGACGGCCUUCGGGUUGUAAACCUCUUUCAGUAGGGAAGAAGCGAAAAGUGACGGUACCUACAGAAGAAGCACCGGCUAACUACGUGCCAGCAGCCGCGGUAAUACGUAGGGUGCGAGCGUUGUCCGGAAUUAUUGGGCGUAAAGAGCUUGUAGGCGGUUUGUCGCGUCUGCUGUGAAAAUCCGGGGCUCAACCCCGGACUUGCAGUGGGUACGGGCAGACUAGAGUGUGGUAGGGGGAGACUGGAAUUCCUGGUGUAGCGGUGAAAUGCGCAGAUAUCAGGAGGAACACCGAUGGCG
rnacentral:rRNA from 1 species